rnacentral:tRNA from 1 species
CCCUGGUUAGCUCAGUUGGUAGAGCGCUCCGCCUAUAAUGGAGAGGUCCCGGGUUCGAUACCCGGACCAGGCG